GCUGAACGUAGAAUGCUGAUUGAUUCAGUCGUGGGGGUGGGGGAGAAGUGUGGACGUCCGUGCGCCUGGUUUAUUUAGAGGUCUGUGUUUUAAAUGUCCUGAAGAAGACCUGGUUUUAUUUGGAAUCCGGCUGCUGUGUCGUAAAUAAGAUAAGAGCCGCAUCAGUUGCAGUAUUUUGGGGGAGAAAAACGGCGAUGUCUAUGCACCAAAUGCAUAGGUGUGUGACGCGGAGAAGCGGUAUGGACACAUAUGCUCUUGCUCGUAAUGGUGCAUUUAACAAAAAUAAAAUAAUAAAAAAAAAACCUCAACACAAAUCUGUUUAGGGCUCCAGUCGAUGUUUUUUGCACUUUUUUUUUCUCACGGAGAUAAAGGCGUCUAUGUCUUUUGGCUGCGCCUCCAUUUUCAUCACACACUAGGGGGGGGAGGAAAGGGGGUUUCAGGGGUGUCAAUCACUUCUCUAUUCUCCAGCUUUGAGGCUGGAUACCAUUCCCUAUUUUUGGAUCACACACAGUCACGCACCUCAAUAACAAUGGUUCAUAGCUGCUGCUGUCCCCCCCACCCCCUCAAACAAACACACUCUUCUGGAACCCCCAGGGACCCUCCCAUGUGGCCUUUAUUGUUAAACGAGAUGAGGGGGGGGGGGGGGGGAAGAAAAAAGAAAAAAAAAGAGAAAGAGCUUACUUUAAAUGUGUGAUUGCAUUUAGCUGUUCUUGCAGGUCAGCUAAAACCUAAAGGGAGACACCUUGGGAUGUGUUCCUCCCAGCUCUGCACAUAAGAGUCUAAUUUGACUGAGGCAUUUUGUAUGGAAAUGGAUGUCAGACUUUCUGUAGGUCAAUAUAUGACAUAUGAGCCUGUUGUCAGUGCAGGAUUUGCUCUCCAAAAGCUCCUGGGUCUUUUCAUUUUAUUAUUAUUUUUUUUUACUGUGUUCUGUUUUCCCUCAUGAAUAAAUAUUCAGCUGAGUGGAGCUGUUUAUUAUCAGACUGUGCAUCCAUCAGUUAGUUAGCCCCCUCUUGGGAAAAGAUGACACGACCGUGUCCUCUGGGCUGAAGCCAUAUGUACCCAGUACGGAUUACUACACAGUGUGUUCAUUCUCCCAUUUUGCAACGAUAAACUUCCAUGUGUUUUACUGGAAUUUAUAUGUGGUAACUCAAGCUAAUCACCAUGAAGUGGUAAGAAAAUGAUACAUGCUUUUUAAAUGUACUUAUUUUAUAGAAAUUGUUGUACCGCGCAUAUGCACUCAGCCUUAAGACUCAAGAAUCUCCUUUUGCUUCAAUCUCAGCUGCAACUUGUUUUACCAACUUUGCACAUACAGAGACAAGUUCUGGCACAUUUUUGUGCAAAAUACCGUAGAUCAGUCAGACUGGUUAAAGAGCAUCUCUAAUGUCCUGUCGGUAUCCUCUUCCAUCCAUUUACAAACACAAUUUCUGACUGGCUUCCUUUCAACAAUGGCUUUCUUCAAACCAGAUUUGUGGAUGUAAUGUCAACACAUUCUUCCGCCUGAGCUAUGGAUCUCUGCAGCUCCUCCAAGGUUAUCUAUUGCCUUGCAUUUCACUGCAUGUAGAGCUGAAACUCUUUUGGGGUCGGUCUUCAACAGCGUCGCACUAAGACUGAAAUCUCAAAUUAGCUCAAGUUAUGUCAGAUUGGACUUCAUGCAUAUGAGGACAUACAUUUUUCAGCUCUUGUCACAUAUUCCCAGUGGAUUUAGGUCUGGACUUGGACUAGGCUGUGAUCUAUGCCCUUUCAUUGUAUCUCUGGCUGUACGUUCAGAGCUGUUGUUCUGCUGGAAGGUAAACCUAUGCCUUAGUGUCAGGUUUUCUGUGAACUCCAAUAAGUACGAUAGUCCUAUUUGUUUGGCUCAAUCCGUCUUCACAGCUUUCCUGUCCCUGCUGAAUAAAAGCACUUCCACAGUGAGCUCGUUUCAUUGUAAGCAUGGUGUUUGCUGGGUGAUGUGUUGUGUUGACUUUCUGCCGCACUCAACGUUUUGUGUUUUGGGCCAAAAAGUUUCAUUUUGGUCUCAUUUGACUCCUUCUUUCACGCGUUUGCUUGUCCAACAGAAGGACUGUGGCAAAAUGUAAAUUGAACUUCUGAUGAUUUUAUUUUAACAAUGACUAUCUUCUUGGCAAUAAUCCACAAAGAUUAUCUUAACUGACCUCUGGAUCUCUGCGGCUUCACCAGAGUUACCAAGAGUCUGUCGACUGAUUCUGUUAGUAAUGCUCCUCUUGCCUGUCAGUUUAGAUGGACAUCUGUGUCGUUGUCGGUUUGCAGUUGUUUUACAUUUUCAAAUGAUGGAUUGAACGGAGCUGUCUGAGUGGUUCACAGCUUGGAGUACUCAUUUAUAACCUAACCGUGGUUUAAACCUCUCCAUGCUAUGUGUUCAGAAAUAAAACUGGCCAUUACAAAGCAUCUGUAUUUAUUGUGAGAUAAAAUUACACACAGUGACUUCUGAAUGUGAUCGACUGACUAGGGAAAUCAGAGCACAUGCUUAUGAUUUUAUUUAUAUAUAGUUAGGAAAGCAUUUAUCAUUUUUCAUAAAAUUCCAAUAAGCAGCAUUCAUGGAUUAUAAAGGAACCUGAUGUGUAAAAUGUCCCUUUUGUAAGGAACUGCUUGUAAAUGUGUUUUUUAUAAGGUCAGGUUGUUAUAUGUUGGAGCUUCGCUGCUUCAUCUCUCAUGUAUGCAUUUGUGUUCAUGCCCCCACUCCCUCUUCCAACACACACACACACACACACACACACACACACACACACACACACACACACACACUCAUGCUCACGGCAAGCGGCUCACUCCAAUUCCUCCUCCGAGCAUCCGGCUGUUCCUCGCUCCUCCUGCUCCUCUGAUCACUAUCGUGCUCUCAAACCCAAUCUGAUCCCCUCUUACCCCCCUCCCCCACCAGCCCACCACUCAUCCUCUUUCCGGAUGUCAAUCUAUAAUUGAAGAUGCUUAAUCAUAUCGCAGUGAAGCGGAACACAUGACACCGGAGCUGUGCAUGCUCAGGAUACACAUUUUUGCGUGCCAUCACAUCCGACCGGUCAUCCCAUACUGUAUCUGUUAUGAUGAUAGAAGAGGAGGGAGGGGGGGUGAGAGGGUGGACGUGUAACACUGGCUCUGCUAAUUGCGAAGUCAAUUAGCAUAUGGUCUUGCUGUAAGCCCAGUCACAUGAUAAUGAGGUAUAAUUAGGGGGACCAGGGAUCUUUGAGGAGGCAGGGGAUGAAUAUGUGCACUGACAGUUUCCAUAAAAUGGCUCCCAGGAGGUUGGAAAUAUCUCAUUCUUUUUAAGCGUGCAUUUAAUCAUCUGUUGCGUUUCUCCUUUCGGAUUUUUUAUUUUUUCCAGGCUCCUUCUACAUUUAAAAGCAGGUUUGCAUCCAAAUGUUACAAAACUCAGCAAUUAUGUCUUGGUCUAAAAAGAAGAAAAUCCAUGGGAAAGGACCACAUUUGCUCACACCUACAUUCAUUUUAAAAGCACCAGUUAACCAAGUGAGCAUAUUUUGGGAAUGUGGGAGGAAACAGUAGUACUCAGAGGAAACCUACGCAUGCAGAGCAUAAAAACUGCACGAGAUUGGAGCCUGGAACAAUUGGCAGCCUAAACUUCUGUAUCAAGAACUCAUCUGUUUUCAUUUACAUUAAGAUUAUUAAAAGAACAAUUAUGCACCUUUAGCUGAGUGUAGUUAUUUCUUCAAAAUUAAAAUGACUCAGACUUUAGUGGGUAGUCUACUGCCACAUUUUCUCAUCCGUACUCUCCUUUGCCUCUUAUUUUGAAUUUUUGUAAAUCUCACUAGCUGCUGCAAAGGACAAAAGACGAGCUAAAUGUUUUCAGUGCAAAGAUGCACGUUUGCAUUCUCUCUGGUAAAGUCAGUCUUCUAAUACAGAAACUGAAAUGACAAAAAAAAAAAAAAACAAUAAUACAAAAUUUGACAAGGGAUUAAAACAAAAACAAAAUAUAAUAAGGGUAAAGAUCCUAAGAGAUUUUUCUGAUGUAGUUUCCACUAAGCAAAGAAUUUUAAGUAAUUACAAACCGAUCUUAACUUAUGACAGAGUUCUGUAGUGAUGUAGCACAAAAGUACAAGGAGAAAUUUUAACUUGCUAGAGCAUUUAUGCAGCAAUUAAAAUUUGCUUGUCCGUUUGGAUAAAUCUUUUGUCUCAGAUAAAUGUAGUUUAUCUGAGACAAAAAUCAACCUGAGAGUAGUUGAUGUGGCCUAAGGCUGCAGCAAAACAAACAGCUUCACUGUUUGUUCAAUGGCAGAACAAAUCUUUAUUCUGCCAUUGUUCUGUCUAGGUGUGAGCCUCUACACUGUCAGUGUGAUAACAUUAUAAACACAUUUGAUGGUAUUUAUGGUAUAUAGAGUAUUUACUAACACUAUCUUUUAUAACCCAAAACAUUGGUUUUAUUGUUUUUUUUUUAAAUUGCUUCUGUAGUUUGUCAUGUAGUUUUAAAACACUGUUGCCAUAACAAUGGGGAUUGAUUUUUCCUUUUGUUUCCUGCAAAAGGAAAUUCAGCAUUUUUGUAAUAUGGAAAAUAUUUGGUAACCACCAUGGCAGAGCAACAUGUUGGGGAGGGGCAAUGUAAAAUCUUGGGAUACCUUGAUGUAGCACCAAGUCUAAACUGAAAACCAUCUUGUGUUUACAUCUAUUGUAUAAAGGUUAUCACAGUGAAGGCUUGUUUCUAUACAUCUUAACUUCUAGGAGACAAAUGUUUAGGAUAUUUCUACACUGAUAUUUCUUUGUGUGUUUUUAUUUCGGUUUCUGCUUUCACACCUCCUGAGCAACAACCAACAUUUAAACUAAAUAACGCACAGCUUUCACUACAGAGAUGCUUUCUCUACUCGAAACUAAUAAAACCCCAACAAACCAAACUGAGUUAGCCAAAAUGUCACCCAUACAUGGAGCCAGUAUGAGAUUUUUACAGUAUGAUAACCUGGACUAACAGCUUUCAGCCAGCUAACACGUAGUGCACAGCAACAGUUGGCAUAAAAUGUGUACAAUGUUACUCUAUGCUUUUUCCAGCAGGAAAAACCUCUGGUCAACCCGGUGCUUUCUCUGGCAUCUCAUCAAAAGUGCUUCAAAUUGUAGGAAGGUUUUGAUGGAAUGUCUUUGCAGUCUCAAAAUUGUAAAACCUUAUUGUACCUUGACAUUGGUAAUCUGUCCAGGACAUAAAGACAAAAGAUAACUUCCUUCAACAGGCAGAAUCAUUAAAAGGUCCCCGCUCUCCAAAAGUAGCUAAUGUGUACUGCGGAAAAUUAUUUGGAGAAACCCCCAGAAACAUUAUAAUGGAAGCCUGGGAGUUAUUACAUACACUGUAGAUACUGCUCUUCAUUUAAUGAGUCAUUUCGGAGCAAUUAGCAGGGAGCAUUUAUUAAAUUGGUUUAAGUAAAUUAGACAUUUUUAUAAUUAAUCAUCCCUCAAUGGCUGUUUCACUCAGAAAGCAAACUAGACAUGUUUCUUUUGAAUGAUGAUUCAGAGGCAGUAAACUCAACUUCACUCCUGGAAGAAGUCAAAAAAGCUUAGCACAAAACUGACGGUCUCAUUUUAUUUGUGAUUAACUUGUGAGCUAAUAACUCGUCCCUCCAUCUGAGUAAGCGGCGGUCCGGUCGAAUAUUGCACAUUUUUUAGAAACUGAUAUUUUGUGUGUUGCUGAAAUAAUAUGGCCAAAACUGCUGCAGAACAGAAAGACACGAAGCAAGUCGUUAAAAUGCAAUAAUCGUUCUGAUCGUUACCACAGUAAUUAGACAGCAUCUGGCUGUGUGUUGCGUCUGAUAAUCAUAGGAGUCUGUAAUUGUCCUGGACCACUUGACUCAUCACGCUCCCCCCCGCCCCCCAUCCUUUUCUGUCCAGCCUGGAGCUCGUCUGAAUGACUGCAGUGCUGCACAUUUGUCCCCUCGAGCCUGUAUUCCUGUUCAGUGCUGCAAAGAAUGCAUGCUGCAUUUGCGUCACAAUGGGGAUUUGUGUUUCAACCAUGCAUGUUGUCCUCAUAAGGACAUAUAAUGCAUGCAACCAAGCUAAAUGUCAAACCUGCAGCAUGCCAACAGAGGCAUGUUGGACAUGCAUGCAGCACAAAAGCAAGCUUGCAACCUUGUGAGGUGUAGAAUAAAGGAGCUCAGUGCCGCCCGGCUGUUUGCACUUGCAGCAGAACUGGCUGGAGCUGGAUUGUUCCUGAAUUACAUAAGAAAAAGAACGAAUAAAGGCAAGUGGAAGGAAGUGGAGGAGGAGGAAGGACCACAAGGAUCUAAGAUGGAAGAAAGGGGAAGAUGAAGAGUGUUUGGAGGUCUUUUUUAAACGAGUAGCGUGUUGAAGGAGGAGGGGCACGGAUGUCUAGCAGAACAGAGAAUUUGAAACGGAGAACAGAAAUGGCGACAGAAAGGAACAUGCAUGGCGAGGCAGAAGGCCGCCGAUAAUAAGCAGCCAAUAUCAUCCUCCCUUUUCACACGGCUCACUAAUAUGAAAGAAAUGUUCUGCCAAGUCCCACUCAAAAAGCAGCCAGUGCAACCAUCUGUGCAAGAGGGAGUGAUGGGGCAGGAGGACGAGUGAGUGGAAAAGCCACUAGUGUGCAGGACGCAAGCCUCAGCCUCUUGUUGUGCAUCCGUCUUGACUACGUGGCUUUAUUGCCUCUGUCGUUGGAGCGAGACAAAGAAGGUGAUGAAGAUACAAUAAGGAAGGAGAGAGCUUUUUCCCUACAUUUGUCCUCUGCUGCGCUAUCUCUGUAAUUUAGAGACAAGAAGGACUAAUCAGAUGUGAUGUGCCACAUAUAUUUCGUUGUGCAUAAAUCUGUGCUUAAAAGCUUUGA